GACGAACGCUGGCGGCGUGCCUAAUACAUGCAAGUUGAGCGCUGAAGGUUGGUACUUGUACCAACUGGAUGAGCAGCGAACGGGUGAGUAACGCGUGGGGAAUCUGCCUUUGAGCGGGGGACAACAUUUGGAAACGAAUGCUAAUACCGCAUAAAAACUUUAAACACAAGUUUUAAGUUUGAAAGAUGCAAUUGCAUCACUCAAAGAUGAUCCCGCGUUGUAUUAGCUAGUUGGUGAGGUAAAGGCUCACCAAGGCGAUGAUACAUAGCCGAACUGAGAGGGUGAUCGGCCACAUUGGGACUGAGACACGGCCCAAACUCCUACGGGAGGCAGCAGGAGGGAAUCUUCGGCCAGGGACGAAAGUCUGACCGAGCAACGCCGAGGGAGUGAAGAAGGUUUUCGGAUCGGAAAACUCGGUUGGUAGAGAAGAAAGUUGGUGAGAGUGGAAAGCUCCUCAAGUGACGGUAACUACCCAGAAAGCGACGGCUAACUACGUG
rnacentral:rRNA from 1 species